UUGACCUCAGAUCAGGUAGGGAUACCCGCUGAACUUAAGCAUAUCAAUAAGCGGAGGAAAAGAAACCAACAGGGAUUGCCUUAGUAACGGCGAGUGAAGCGGCAAAAGCUCAGAUUUGAAAUCUGGUGCCAUAGAGGCAUCUGAGUUGUAAUCUGUAGAGGAGUAUUCGAGUAUGGCUUUGGCUUAAGUUCCUUGGAACAGGGCGUCAAAGAGGGUGAGAACCCCGUUUGCAGCCUUUGUCUUAUGCUUAUGUGAAUCUCCUUCAACGAGUCGAGUUGUUUGGGAAUGCAGCUCUAAAUUGGUGGUAAAUUCCAUCUAAAGCUAAAUACUGGCAAGAGACCGAUAGCGCACAAGUAGAGUGAUCGAAAGAUGAAAAGAUCUCUGAACAGAGAGUUAAAUAGUACGUGAAAUUGUUGAAAGGGAAGCACUUGCUACCAGACACACUUGCAAUUAAUCAGCCUCCAUUUUUGGUGGUGCACUUGGUUGUAGGUGGGUCAGCAUCAGUUAUAGCGGUAGGAAAAAGGCUGUGGGAAUGUGGCUUCUUUCGGGAAGUGUUAUAGCCCAAAGUGUAAUGCUGCCUGCUGUGACUGAGGACCGCGCUUCGGUGAGGAUGCUGGCAUAAUGGUUGUAAGUGACCCGUCUUGAAACACGGACCAAGGAGUCUAACAUCUAUGCGAGUGUUUGGGUGUUAAAACCCUUGC
rnacentral:rRNA from 1 species